GACUAAUUCAUUAGUAGAGCAUCAAAACGACAGACAAACAAUCUUAGUUACAUGGCGAUGUGCUAACAGCUUCACCUAAAAUGAUAAAUAAUAAAUUUCACUUGGGGAAUCUAUAAAGCCAGAUACAAAAACAAUUUUAAUUCUCAAGAGCUAAACAAACUUCUUAAAAAGAAAAAAUCUCACAGAAAAAUGUCCCAAUCCCAAUAAUAUCUCUACUGUUUCUCUGCAUCCAGAUACUCCAAAUCAGUAUAAUGCAGCACUUAUCCAAGAAUCAAGUCUUGUCCUAAUAACAAGAAUCCCAUGCCAUCCUAAUAGACGCAAAACUGUCCAUGGAAACCAUUGUUUGACUCUAAACGAAGCCCAAAUGGAUUUCUAAAAAUAUCUUUCAACCACACAAUGAACGAAAAGGCUAUCCAUUAAUUCCUCAUUUUAUUUUUGCAUAAAAAAUAGAGUAGGAUAUUUAUGUGCACAACAAUGUAAAAAUGCGACUCCUAAAAAGAGAAACAGUCACCUCAAAACCCUUACGUAUUUCAAUUCAUUGCUACAAACGCUUGAGCAUUUGCAAGACAAUAGGAAGCUUAUAAAUGAACCAAACUAUGUUUAUCCAAUUAAACAAAACUCCUGAUUCAGCUCACUCAAGCAAUAGAACUCAAGAUUACAAGAAACAAAAGAAGUAAACAUGUCAUAGAUGAACACAUGAAUUUUUACAAAUUUCAGGUUUAACAAGUCAUUCUCCG
rnacentral:misc_RNA from 1 species